rnacentral:misc_RNA from 1 species
GUCCUCCUUACCCGUCCAUCCCCAGAACAUGUGUUGCAAGCGGUAAAUGUUUCCCCAGUCCCCCCACAUGAAGAGCAGGUCAUUACCUGCUGAAAGACACCUAAUGGAGUCCUUGCUGAUGAAACAACCUGACCUUGGCCGCCACAUGUACUCUACAUCUAGAUGGUGUCGUCCCAGGUUUUGCACCUGAACCAUUGCAGGUGCCACAGCUCUCGAGUCGGGUUAUCUCAAUCUCUUUUUCAACCCCAAAAACUGCUUCCUUAAACAUUAAGAUAAGAUUGUAAUAUUCAUCCUGACCAUCGACUGCUCUACUCCGGGAAGCUCUGCCCCCCAUGCCGCCCAUACCUCCCAUUCCUCC